UGUGAGGGGACAGGGUGGAGAUGGGCCCUGGGGAGAGCUCAGCCCCUCCCCCAGGCUCCAGAGGUCAGAUGGGUCAAGCCCCUCCCAUCCCCCUGCCUGUGGUCAGGGGCUCCUGCGGGCCCCCCCUCCCCCCCCCGCCGGCCCAGGCACUGCCUGAAGCCUGAAAUAGUGGCUUCAGGACAAGCCCCCCCUACCCCUGCAGGGAGCACCCCUCCAGCCUGGGAGGGUGGGGGGUCCCUACAGGGGUGGCCCCGGCCUCUCCCCACCUGGGAGUCCAGCUUUUUCAAAGUCCUCCAGGAAGGGUCACAUUUUAAGUGUCCUUCAGAGAGGACAUUGCUGGCCCCGGAGCUAGGAUGUCCAGGCACCGAGCCAGGCCCGCCAGGGAGACGCCAUGGGACUGAAGGGCCCGCUCCGGCUCUGUGCCCACCUCCUUCCCUGUGGCUGAGCCUCCCUGGGGCUCCGGCCGGCAGGGCCAGCAGGGCUUCUGGCAGGAGUGGGGGUGGGGGGGGUUGUCGGAGGAGGAUCCCAGGCCUGGGGACAGCUCUCCCACUCCCACCAGGCAGGACCCCUGCCGCUACUGAGCCCACCCCCAUCCGCAGACUGCUACGUGGACCUGCGAGGCUCCCCGGCCCCCCUCCCCUCUACCCCCACGAUGUCCUUCUUCCCUCACGUUCUGGACCUGCUGGCCCCCCUGGACAGCAGCAGCAGGGCCGUCCCCAGCACCGAGAGCCUGGACGACUUCUCCGACGGGGACCUCUUUGGUCCGGAGCUGGACACCCUCCUAGACUCACUGUCUCUGGUGCAGGGUGGCCUGCCUGGCAGCGGUGUGCCCAGCGAGUUGCCCCAGCUCAUCCCCGUGUUCCCCGGCGGGACCCCACUGCUGCCACCUGUGGUGGGUGGCUCCAUCCCCGUCUCCAGCCCGCUGCCCCCUGCCUCCUUUGGCCUCGUCAUGGACCCCUCCAAGAAGCUGGCUGCCUCUGUGCUGGAUGCCCUCGACCCCCCGGGCUCGGCGCUGGACUCCCUGGACCUGCUGCCGUACUCGGAGACCCGACUGGAUGCCCUCGACAGCUUUGGGUCAACCCGUGGCUCCCUAGACAAGCCCAGCUCCUUCAUGGGUGAGGCCUGGGUGGGCACCCACGGACAGUUGACAGGUUGCGAGUCUUUGGAGAGUGGAGUUGGGAUUCCAGCUCCGUUUUGCUUCAUGGUCUAGGGCCAUGUUUUCUGCGUUUGUGUCUCCUGCAGCGCUCAGCAGAGUGCAGGGCUGAGGCCUGAGGGGCUGGGUGUCCUGUUCAAGCUCCAACAGCAGAGCUGGGCUAGUCCAGGACUCCAGACUUGCAAUCUGAUGCUCUCUGCCCAGCCUCCCGGGGCCCUGGGGUGGCCAGACUGGUGGGAUCCCAGGGAAAGGGAGCAAGGCCCCGGGGUUCCUUGGGCCCCACUCUGAGCUUGGU
rnacentral:lncRNA from 1 species